AAUUAGUGGACAAAACUCUGUCCCUAAAUCUCGGGGAUUAUGGCUCUACUCCCCACGACCCAACUUCCCAGACGCUCAAGGCCCACCUUCCUGGAAGUUGAAAGGUUACUGUUGUCUACCCACUGGUGGUAAACACCCCUGGCCUCUUACAACACAGAAGCGAACUUCUGCACAAACUCCAGCCAGAGCCAGGAAGGCUGCAGCUGCUUCUCUGGAACCUGGUCACAUGUCCCAGGUAGAGGAGCCAUUACCGUCUGCUGGUCCAGCUCAGCGGGCAUGGCAAUAGGCCUGGACGUCCUCUGUCCCAAAAUGCAUCCACAAGCCCUUGUUACCUAUAAGACACAGAGGCUUGGCACCAGCUACUUCGUACAGCUGUUGAGACAAGCAUCUGAGAUAAUGUGGAGAGAAACACUGUGCGAACCGAAACACGAUUGGCCUGAGCUAGCAAUCUGUUACCCUGGUCAACGGCGGUCCAGAAAUACUAAAUGGAAAAUUCCAGAAGGAAACAAUUCGUAAGUUUUAAAUCACGUACCAUUCUGAGUACUUCCCUUCAUCUCCUUACGAAGGCAUUUUAUCGUCUUACAUCCUCACAAGAAGAAAGGUGAGAAUGACAUAUUCUGACAGAGAGACCACUUUCACAUAACUUUUAUUACAGUAUAUUGUUGUAAUUGUUCUAUGUUAUUGUUAGCUAUUGUUGUUAAUCUUGUGCAUAAUUUAUAAAUUAAACUUUAUAAUAAGCAUGUAUAUAUAUGAAAAAACGCAGUAUAUACAGAGUUUAGUACUAUCUGUGGUUUCAGGCAUCCACUGGGGAUCUUGGAAUGUGUCCCCCACAGAUAAGGGGGCUAAAAAGAAUGUAAAAUUUCUACUCCACUGCCUCAACAUGUAUCUUAAAUCCAUCAGGUCAUCCUCUAGCCUACUCUCCAGACUUGCUCUGUCUUUUCAAUCUCCCCAGCCCUGUGUCAGAACUCUGCUUGUCACCUUGCAUUCCUCCUUCUGCUUCACUCCUAACACUCAACCAGAGACCAAAUCCUGUAGAUUCUCGCCGGUCAAUCCUCUCCCCAGCUUUCCCACCUCUACUGCCUUGGCAGAUUCUUGAUUCUCAUCUCUUUUCUGCCCUGACUGCUGGGUCAGCCUCCUAAUUGGUUCCUGCAGCACUCUGCCUCAGCUCCAUCUGUCCAUCUGCCCAUCAAUCGUCCAUCCAUCCA